rnacentral:rRNA from 1 species
CCUACGGGAGGCUGCAGUGGGGAAUAUUGGACAAUGGGGGGAACCCUGAUCCAGCCAUGCCGCGUGUGUGAAGAAGGCCCUCGGGUUGUAAAGCACUUUCAGUGAGGAAGAACGCCUGGUGGUUAAUACCCAUCAGGAAAGACAUCACUCACAGAAGAAGCACCGGCUAACUCCGUGCCAGCAGCCGCGGUAAUACGGAGGGUGCGAGCGUUAAUCGGAAUUACUGGGCGUAAAGCGCGCGUAGGUGGCUUGAUAAGCCGGUUGUGAAAGCCCCGGGCUCAACCUGGGAACGGCAUCCGGAACUGUCAAGCUAGAGUGCAGGAGAGGAAGGUAGAAUUCCCGGUGUAGCGGUGAAAUGCGUAGAGAUCGGGAGGAAUACCAGUGGCGAAGGCGGCCUUCUGGACUGACACUGACACUGAGGUGCGAAAUCGUGGGUAGCAAACAGGAUUAGAUACCCCUGUAGUC